UUUAUGAAACUUGACAAAAAUGAUAACUUUUUAAUUAUAAAAUAUUCAAGUUUUCCUCCCAAGGUUUCUUCCUCAUUGCUGGGAUACUAGUUCAAACUGCAUAGAUAUUUUCUUGUGAUGCUGUUAUGUAGUUCACUUCACUUUUAAAGUAUACUGAAAAAAAAAAACUGGAAACCUUAAUCUAAUUUCUUUAUAGAUUAUUAUUACUGAAAUAACUAUACUUGCAAUGUUGUCAUCAUUAAGACCUUAUCUGCUUAUUUUAUCAAGUGUAAUUUAUCAAUUUUAUCUGAUAAAUUUAAAUGAUUCUUUAUUAUAUGGAACACUUUUCUUAUAUCAAAUUGCAGUUCAUGAGGACUGUUUUACAAAAGUGUAGUGAUUAGUUAGUGUGAAAAGUUUUUCAAAAAUGAUUGUACAAUAACUAGUCAUAUUACAGACUAACAACUAAAUUAAAUACUAAAUUAAUGCAUGUGUAUUGACUAUGGCUAUAUCGAAAUGUAGCCAGUCUAUUUAUGGGGUAACUUGAUUGAGGACUUUACAAAUAAAUGACACUUGUUGGUGGAAGAAUUAAUUUAAUGCUAAAUCAAAGAAUAAAAUUUACAAAACAGCUAGCGGACUUACACAGUAUUCUUACAAUUAUACAAAUUUCUUAAUCUCAUCCACUAAUUACAAAGAGAUUGCUUGAGAUCACAAUGUUACUAAUAUGCACUUAUUCUAAAGAUCUAUACAAAUAUUUACAUGGUGAUAUGCUCGGUAGUUCCAUACUCUUAACACAAUUACUUGAUGAAAUUGAUGUUCUUUGUUUACACACGUGGUCAAAGCUUAAUUAACAAACAAAAUUAUAAAAUGUCGAAUUGGGGAAAUAAUUGUCCCAAUGAGUGAGCCUAAUUCUUACAUAUAUUUUUAAUCAAAUUACUUGCCAGUUGCGGUCAAAUCCAGAUCGAUGGGGUUGGCUUGUCCUUUAGCACACAAUAGUUCAAUCUCCUAUCUUUACUCUUUGAUUCUUACACAAAACUCUCCACUCAUUUAUUCCAAUUAUUCUCAUUUAUUUGUCAAUUUUUGGAGUGUACAGGAACAUGAUGGGAGCUCAGAUGGGAGCUCAAAAGUCCAGUCCAGUCUCAAGAGUCCAAGAAGGAAAAAAAAGCCCUCUUACACAUGUGACACGUAUUUUUAUAGCUCCCACCAUCCGGGAACAUCACUAUACAUAAUCUGUACUAGACCAAUCUACAUUCACAACUGUGGUGACCCCAAAAGGUGAUACAGAAGUUAUAAAAUACAUAUGCGUAACAAAGAGAAAGAGAGAGAAAAAAAAAACCUGAUACAAUAUCACUUAAGAAUGGAAUAUGAUUAAAAUUUCUUUAUACAACUAAAUAACUAUAGUGGUGGAGCACUACACAUGAUUUGAUUUUUAGUCGAAACUUUCCUAUUCUGAGAGAAUUAAAAAGUUUGUGCAAUGAACCAAGUGCAUUGAAAAGCAAGGAGACUAUGUUAAUUUAAAAAAAAAAUUUUUUUAAUUACUAUUAUAAAUUUUAUAACUACAUGCAUUACAUUUAAUUAUUAAUUCAUCCUCUAGUUUAGCAUAUUCUUUAAAACAUCAUUUAGAAUCAAACAAUAUCUAAAUGUAAACUUUAACAUAUAAAUUGCUUAUCUUAAUCAUGAUUUCAUUCUUUGAAAAGACAGAAAAAACAUGUUUGUUUCAUAUGGAAUCUUUAUAUGUAUCUUAUCAUUCAAUGUGCAAUUCUGUUAUGUAAAAUUAUGGGAACAAACCUGUUCUUUCAUUAAUGAAAUUCAGUUUUUUCUUUGGAAACAGUUGAUAAUUUCAUACAUUACAGGGACAAAUGAUUUUUUUUUUCUUAGUUUCUUUUCUUUCUAAAUAUUUUUCAUAAUUGCAAUACUGAUAUCAGGUUGUAAAAGUGAAAUAUAAACAUUUUGAAAAAACUUCAUUGAUAAUUAACUCAAUAAUUACAGUUUAGUCUUCACAUCUUGCCACCUUUUACUGCAAACUUUCAAUCCCAUAAGCAUAGAAUGACUGGGGUUUUACUUUGAAGAAAACCUCAAGCAUCAGGUAUUGUCACUGAACUGUUAUUGGUUCUACAGAAUGCAAAACCAAUAGUAGUCAGUUGGCACAAAGUUUUGGCUGUAAGGUGGAUGAGACAGAAUCUUUCAGCUCAAAUUGGCCACUUCUCUAAGAUCAUCUUUGUUCUGUGCUGGCAUGUUGUCAUGGUAAUAUUGGACUUUGUCAAUUUUUGGAGUGUACAGGAACAUCCAAGUUUGUUGAAAUUAAAAUACUGUAGUAGAGAUAACAGAGACUUAUCACACUGCUACUGGUAACAUCAAAAUGGCACUUCUAUCAUCAGAAUUGCAGUCACAACUGCUAUAAUGGCUUAUCAAGAUUUUCUUUUCAGAUAUUGCCUGUUUAUAAUGAAUCCUCAUGGUACUGUGCAGUGUGGGUGGAAAUAAAUCUUGAACAGGUUAUGAAUGUCCAACUUUAGAAUCUGGAAAAUUAUAUUUAUAUGGCAUGAGAUUUUGUCCUUAUGUUAACAGAGUUAGAUUAGUUCUCUCAGCCAUGAACAUCGAUUAAAUUUAUUACAAUGUAGACACCACAGUGAUUCUUGUCUUUUUAAUCUAAAAGCAGCUUCAUGUUCUUUUAACCUGGUCUCCAACUUCCUUCCUGUUUCACCUAUGUAAAGUUUCAGUCUUGGACGAGUACACAAUAGCUUGUAAACAACACCUGCAACUUCAAGUUGGUUUUUGGAUGUAUUCUGGUCUUGAUGAAUGUAAUUAAUAUUAUAAAUAAUGAUCUUAUUUUUUUGUUCUGCCACUAUACACACAGAAUAUUUCUUGAAAACUGGUUUAUAUUUUUCAAAUAAAUUAUUUAUA